AUAAUGGGUCAGCGACUUAUAUUCUGUAGCAAGGUUAACCGAAUAGGGGAGCCGAAGGGAAACCGAGUCUUAACUGGGCGUUAAGUUGCAGGGUAUAGACCCGAAACCCGGUGAUCUAGCCAUGGGCAGGUUGAAGGUUGGGUAACACUAACUGGAGGACCGAACCGACUAAUGUUGAAAAAUUAGCGGAUGACUUGUGGCUGGGGGUGAAAGGCCAAUCAAACCGGGAGAUAGCUGGUUCUCCCCGAAAGCUAUUUAGGUAGCGCCUCGUGAAUUCAUCUCCGGGGGUAGAGCACUGUUUCGGCAAGGGGGUCAUCCCGACUUACCAACCCGAUGCAAACUGCGAAUACCGGAGAAUGUUAUCACGGGAGACACACGGCGGGUGCUAA
rnacentral:rRNA from 1 species